ACUGCACUCCAGCCUAAGCAACAGAGCCAGACCCCGUCCCCCCGCCCCCCCCCCCAAAAAAAAGAAAAUUGAAGCAGCCCAGCAUGGGGUUGGGACCAAUGAUGGCAAGGGGAACCAUGGACAGAGUUGGGUUCCUGUGGGGGUGGAGGAAGAUUCCAGGGAACCCUGUGAGAGUUCCUUGGGCCUAAAUGGGGGCUGGAAAGUUGGAGCCCCAGUGAACUGGGAUGUCGAGCAACCCCUGCCAUGCUGGGAAAUGUCAGACCUUAGAUGAGUGGGGAUGUGAAUGCCUCUGCCGGGGCCUGGGUUUGUCAAAAGGCUUUAGGGACUGAUCCCCACCCCUGCUGUUGAAGGCAGGACACCACUGCCUCAAGAGAGGGGUACAUGCCCUAUGGGGCAGGUAGGAGGACUGCAGAGAAACAUGACACUUUAUAAGCAGCUUGGCCUCACCCCACAAUAUACAGAUGGGGAAGGGGCUUGAACCCAUGCCUGUUGGUUGGCUGGGUCUUCCUCACACCAGGCUAACAUCAUGACAAGCUACCGACUUCAAGGUAGGUGAUAACGGGAACUCUGUGGCCCCAUAAAGCCCUUCCAGUCACCUGUCACCUAGGUUAGGCCAGGUGGUGGGAGGUGAUAUUACUUGGCUGCCCCGCUGGGGACUGAGCAUGAUGUGGAAGGGAGGGAGCAAACUCCAGAGGAGGGGUGGCCAGCCAAGGCAGGCUCCAUGGUCAGCCGAGCCAUCGGGCAGAGAAGGAGGCAGGAGGCAGGUGGUUCGUUAUUUGCAGCUGUGGACUUUGCUUCUCACAAAUCCCAGCAGGAGGACUUCCCUACGCUAGGCUCAGGACAGGCUGUCAUCGGGAGAGGAGCUGGAAGGACCCUGGGUCAAGUGAACAUUCUCCUUGCUGCACUAGAGCUGCAGAAUGGCGUUGGAACAAGCACAGACCCACAGAUCUGGGCUUGAACCCUGGCUCCAGUGCCUCCUCAUUUGUUUACUCCGUCUUUUAUUCAUUCAGCUGGCACCCAUUCAUUGAGCACUUCUGUGUACAGCCGUGUUCAGGGUGCUGGUGAUGCUGAUGAAAGGGGGACAGAUAAUGUUUCUUGUCCUCGUCGAUGUUCCAGGAGGCACAAUCUCUUGUUGGACAACUGUUUGUGAGAGGAUAUAACUGUGGAAGUGAUAUUUAAGCUCUAGAAUGAUAAGUGUGAUGCAGGGGCUGGGGUGGUGAGAGGUUGAAGAAAGCACUUCAGGCAGCAGCCACAGCCUGGGCAAAGACCCUGAGGCCUGAGGGACCAGGGAGCUUAUGAGGAAGUUGGUGGAGUUAGAGCGGUUCUCAUGAGUGAGAGUGUAGGACCAGAGGGGUGGGCCUGGGUUAUGUCUGUGGCUGUGGGCCAGUUAUUUCACCUCUGUGCCUGCCUAUCCUCAUCUCUAAAAUGGGAAUACGAAUCUUUCCGGGUGGCUCUGAAGAUUUAGUGUGGCAUCAUAGGUAACUGUUGCAGGCACCCAGGUGUUGACUGCAUGUCCAUUGUUGUUAUAGUUGGUUGAAUCUGUCCCAUUAAUUCUCCUUCCCCAGGCAAGACUCGUGGCUGUGACCCAUGGGCCUCUGAGGAGGCGUUGUAAGUCCGCCCAGCUCCCCACUUGCUGUGCUCCCACUCAAUGCGAAGGGAACCAGGGCCAAGACUUUGUCCAGCCGUCAGCCACGGCCUCUCUACAGCACCAAGAUGGAAGUCAAAGGUCAGCUGAUCAGCUCUCCUACCUUCAAUGCCCCAGCUGCCCUGUUCGGAGAGGCUGCCCCCCAGGUGAAGUCAGAGCGUCUGCGGGGGCUGCUUGACCGGCAGCGGACCCUGCAGGAGGCCCUGAGCCUGAAACUUCAGGAGCUCCGCAAAGUGUGUCUCCAGGAGGCGGUGAGGGC